CCUUUCUUCCUCCCGGUCUUCCAGUCGAUCCAUCUACCCUGCUGUUGGUGCCCCCCUCCCACCCCAGGCCCCAUAUUUCCACUCUUCUUUUCGUUUUGUUAUGCCCUGGUCUGUUCUGUGUUCUUGCUCUUCACAAGCCUAGACUGCAUACAAAAAAAUAAAUAAUUUUAAAAGGCCAUGGUGAAAAAUUACGUGCAUUCAGAAAGAGCAUCAUCUGAACAGGUUACAUGAUGAUAUCGUGUAUGAUUUUCGCAUCAUCACUUGUACACGUGCUUCAAGAUAAAAAACAAACAAACAAACUUCUUAUCACUCGUCUUUUGGAAAUUAAUAUUUUAAUAAGGAAAGCUCACUUGUCAACACUUCAGACGACUCCAAAUUACAGUCAAUGUCUAUUAAUCUUCCAUGGGUACUCUGUGAAUAAAUACUUCUGGGGGUUCCAAAGGUAAAGUUGCUCAAUCUUAGAUAUUGUGUUAGGCAAACCCUGUCUUGAGGACAAGGUUCACCCAGUUAAAAAAAAAAAAUUGAUAUUCUGUCCUCAUUUCUCUGCUUGCUUUUAUGCUUUGAAUUUGCAUAUUGGAAAAUGUCACCAUGUUGAUAAGAACAUUCAAAGUAAAUCGUCGAGAGGGAAGAGGCAGAGGUGGGUGCUUUAUGUCAGGGUAAUAAAGGUGUGACAUGUCUUGUAUAAAAGAGACCAAACUCUGAUAACCACAGCUGGCUUCAUCCAGUCACCACUACUUCGUCCCUCGUCUGGUUCUCGAAAACUUCAGUAGCAAUUGGAGUCAUGGAGAGAUCAGGGAGAAGCCUCGUUCUCCUUGUCAUUGCACUGCUGUGUUCUGGUCAUCUGGUCCUUGGAAGCCAUUUUCGUGGUGGGACCAUCAGCUGGGAAUACAUUGGUGGAAAGAAGGUGCAUUUUGACUACAUGGUCGGAUGGCGCAGAAACUCGGGCGAAGGUGGAGGUUGUAAUGAACAGGAUGUGACGUCUCAGAAAGUACUAAUAGGUAGCGGCAAAUGGGGAUGUGUGCAAGGUUGCAAUUCACAAGAGUCCCUGAAAUACCGAUGUAUCGGCUACAACAAGCCGAGCAACUGGAUGGUUGGAUCUGGCACCUUUGAAAUGAACAUGCCAAGUGUCCAAGCCAGUGUUGUUGAAGUGAAGUCUGGAUGUCCAUCUUCCAUCCCACUGGCGGUCUCGGACCCUGACGGGGACGACGUUCGGUGUCGGAUGGCUGUCGGACAAGAGUGCGGUCAAGUUUGUGGAAUUGUACCUUAUGGUAGUUUGGAUGAGACAACAUGUAUCUUGGACUUCAACCCUCCUCAAAAGACGAAUGGCCUUUGGGUGCUCGCCCUCACUCUAGAGGACUUUGCUAUGGUGAAUGGUCAAAGGACUGGACCUUUCUCGUCCAUACCACUACAGGUUAUCCCCCCCCCCCCCCCCCCCCCCCCCCCCCCCCCCCCCCCCCCCCCCCCCCCCCCCCCCCCCCCCCCCCCCCCCCCCCCCCCCCCCC
rnacentral:lncRNA from 1 species